AUUGAACGCUGGCGGCAGGCCUAACACAUGCAAGUCGAACGCGUGGCGGACGGGUGAGUAAUGUCUGGGAAACUGCCAGAUGGAGGGGGAUAACCACUGGAAACGGUCUCUAAUACCGCAUACCAUCAGAUGUGCCCAGAUGGGAGUAGCUAGUUGGUGGGGUAACGGAUCACCAAGGCGACGAUCCCUAGCUGGUCUGAGAGGAUGAUCAGCCACACUGGAACUGAGACACGGUCCAGACUCCUACGGGAGGCAGCAGUGGGGAAUAUUGCACAAUGGGCGCAAGCCUGAUUCAGCCAUGCCGCGUGUAUGAAGAAGGCCUUCGGGUUGUAAAGUACUUUCAGCGGGGAGGCGUUACCCGCAGAAGAAGCACCGGCUAACUCCGUGCCAGCAGCCGCGGUAAUAC
rnacentral:rRNA from 1 species